UACGUAGGGGGUUAGCGUUGUCCGGAUUUAUUGGGCGUAAAGAGCGUGUAGGCGGCCAGGUAGGUCUGCUGUGAAAACUCGAGGCUCAACCUCGAGACGUCGGCGGAAACCAUCUGGCUAGAGUCCGGAAGAGGAGAGUGGAAUUCCUGGUGUAGCGGUGAAAUGCGCAGAUAUCAGGAAGAACACCCGUGGCGAAGGCGGCUCUCUGGGACGGUACUAACGCUGAGACGCGAAAGCGUGGGGAGCGAACAGG
rnacentral:rRNA from 1 species